rnacentral:rRNA from 1 species
AUGGUUGAACUUAAAAGGCAUGUCAUGUUUCCUACUGUUUAUCAUCUCAUUGAGUUGGCAUUGCUACUACCAGUAGCGAUGACAACAGUUGAAAGGGCCUUCUCAUCAAUGAAAAUCAUCAAUACUGAGUUGCGUAGCAAGAUGACCGAUGGUUGGCUUAAUGACUUGAUUGUUUGUUAUAUUGAGCUACAGAUCUACAAAAGUAUUGAUCUUGGUAAAAUUAAGGAAGAUUUUUAG